CCGCCAAGCCCCGCUAUUUCCGCAAAUCUAUGCAACUCCUGUUCUGAACUAAACCCUAGCGAAGCGACGAAGAGAGGGAAAGAUAGAGAAGAGGGCCAUGGAAGCUGAAAUCCAAGCAGAGUUCAACAAAAGCGGGUUCAGUCUGGAGGACGAUGAAAUCCUCAAGAAAUGUCUUACUUUCUGCCUAAAUUACAAUCUCACGCCAUCAGAUCUCGUCUCAAGCUGGGAAGUUUACUAUCUCAAUAGGCAACUAAAUGAACCAACGGUACAGAAUUCUGAGAUGGAGGGCUUUCUACUGUACUUGCAGAAUGAACAGAGAGACGCAGUUAUUAAAGAGGAACCGGGAUUGCAUAUCUACUCAAUUCAUGAUGUGGACAUGAUUUUGAACGAAGAAGAUAAGACUGUUAACGAAGACAUACCCGGCACACCAACAGAAAAUUAUCUUAGACCCCAUUCAGAGCAAUCUGAUUCAAUACAGAGAACAAAUAGGAGUGGUUAUUCUUCUGCAAAACCAUCAAAACUUGUCACGCCUUUUGGACAACGGACAAAUAAGUUCGUGGUAAAAUUCAGCAUUAAUAACCUUCCCAAUUCAGAGAAUUACAAUAGUGAGCAUGAAAGUGAGGAUGUUGAGGAUGGUGUUAUUAAGAGAAUUCAACCUCGCAAGAAGUGUUCCUUGAUAGUCCAUGGGAAUGCACCAGAACCUGGUUGCAGGUUCAUGUAUGACAGGAUUGAAGACAGGUUCAAUGCUCUUGAAAACCGUCUUGAAAAGCACGCAAUUGCUAUUGCUUCUUCUGGUCUAUAUGAGGAGCUGAUGGACCCAACAAUUGCUUCACAGAGAAAUUUAUUUGCUGUUGGAAUGAUCUGUUGUGAUGGAGGUCUUUUGAAUGAGAAAUCAGUCUUGUUGCAAAGCAGUGUCAAGCAUUCUGGAGGGCAACGUGUUCGUCUAGACUUACAUAAGUUGAGCCAUUUCUCCAUUUUUCCAGGCCAGAUUUUAGGCAUUGAUGGUCAUAAUCCCAGUGGACACUGUUUAAUUGCAUCAAAGCUGGUAGAUUGUAUCCCUUUGUCUAUAACAACUGAUGUGAAUCUACAUCCUGCAAAGAAGCAAGCUUUGGAUCAGGAUGCUCAGUCAACUGAUCUUUCCUGCAAGCAGCCAGAGAUUUCAGUGAUAAUUGCAUCCGGCCCUUUUACCACAGUUGACAACUUGUAUUUCGAGCCUUUAACGGAGCUGCUAGCAUAUGCAAGCAGAAAGCUGCCACAAUUGCUCAUAUUGCUGGGACCAUUUGUGGAUUCUGAACAUCCAGAGAUCAAGAAAGGAACUACUGACAGGACCUUUGAUGAAAUAUUUCAGCUGGAAAUUCUGAGAAGGUUGCAAGACCACGUGGAAUACAUGGGCUCUGAUAUUCACGUAAUUCUUGUGCCAUCCACAAGGGAUGCUCAUCAUGACUUUGUUUUUCCACAGCCCGCUUUUGAUAUUCAUCCACCAGAUCUCAAACACCAGCUAACCUGUCUCACAAAUCCAAGCAAAUUCGAGGCAAAUCAGGUCAAGGUAGCAUGCUGUACCACAGAUAUCCUUAAACACCUCAGUGGAGAGGAGAUGUCACGAACUACAUCAGAUGGUGCUCCCAGCGAUCGCAUGAGCAGACUUGCAAGCCACAUUCUUAGCCAGUGCAGCUUCUAUCCAUUAUAUCCUCCAGCGGAAGAAGUCCCCAUGGAUUUUUCACUAGCACCAGAAGCGCUGAAUAUUGGUUCAGUUCCAGAUAUCCUCAUACUUCCUUCCGAUAUGAAGUUCUUCUUAAAGGUCUUGUCCCUAGGACAAACAAGUGAAGUGGAAGGGCAAAUGAAGUGUUUGUGUGUCAAUCCAGGGAGACUUGCUAAGGGAGAAGGGGGAGGCACCUUUGUAGAGCUGAACUACCAUGGGAGUCCUGACAUGAUGAAUGCUUCCAUUAUAAGCAUAUAAAUCCUGCAUGGAAAACUACCCUAAUAGCUUGAAAUGCAUCUAAAAUGGUGUGGGAGUUGACCUGCAACAUGUAGGAGGAAGACUGACUCCGAAAGGGGAAACGGAAUUCAUGGGAUUGCUCCGAUCAGAGAAUUCCAUGGCGGUCAGUACAAGAUUAAUCCAUUAAAGAAGGGUUCAAGCAAAUUGACAAAUCCAUCACCCAUACGCCUCUGCCUCUCUAAUUUAUAGUUUCCACAUGCAUAAACUUGGUGAAUCAUCAAAUAGGUGGCAUUUACCGGUGACAAAUUCAGACAAUCUUAUAGUUCAAACUUCAAACCAGCAAGGCAACAAGAGAGUACAAAUUUCUACCUCAUUCUCUUUUCUGCUUUAUUAAUCAU